rnacentral:rRNA from 1 species
GGCGGCGUGCCUAAUACAUGCAAGUCGAACGCUUCUUUCCUCCCGAGUGCUUGCACUCAAUUGGAAAGAGGAGUGGCGGACGGGUGAGUAACACGUGGGUAACCUACCCAUCAGAGGGGGAUAACACUUGGAAACAGGUGCUAAUACCGCAUAACAGUUUAUGCCGCAUGGCAUAAGAGUGAAAGGCGCUUUCGGGUGUCGCUGAUGGAUGGACCCGCGGUGCAUUAGCUAGUUGGUGAGGUAACGGCUCACCAAGGCCACGAUGCAUAGCCGACCUGAGAGGGUGAUCGGCCACACUGGGACUGAGACACGGCCCAGACUCCUACGGGAGGCAGCAGUAGGGAAUCUUCGGCAAUGGACGAAAGUCUGACCGAGCAACGCCGCGUGAGUGAAGAAGGUUUUCGGAUCGUAAAACUCUGUUGUUAGAGAAGAACAAGGACGUUAGUAACUGAACGUCCCCUGACGGUAUCUAACCAGAAAGCCACGGCUAACUACGUGCCAGCAGCCGCGGUAAUACGUAGGUGGCAAGCGUUGUCCGGAUUUAUUGGGCGUAAAGCGAGCGCAGGCGGUUUCUUAAGUCUGAUGUGAAAGCCCCCGGCUCAACCGGGGAGGGUCAUUGGAAACUGGGAGACUUGAGUGCAGAAGAGGAGAGUGGAAUUCCAUGUGUAGCGGUGAAAUGCGUAGAUAUAUGGAGGAACACCAGUGGCGAAGGCGGCUCUCUGGUCUGUAACUGACGCUGAGGC